CAGCAGCCGCGGGAAUACAGAGGGUGCAAGCGUUAAUCUGAAUUACUGGGCGUAAAGUGCGCGUAGGUGGUUUGUUAAGUUGGAUGUGAAAUCCCCGGGCUCAACCUGGGAACUUCAUCCAAAACUGGCAAGCUAGAGUAUGGUAGAGGGUGGUGGAAUUUCCUGUGUAGCGGUGAAAUGCGUAGAUAUAGGAAGGAACACCAGUGGCGAAGGCGACCACCUGGACUGAUACUGACACUGAGGUGCGAAAGCGUGGGGAGCAAACAGGAUUAGAUACCCCCGUAGUCCCUGUCUCUUAUAC
rnacentral:rRNA from 1 species